rnacentral:rRNA from 1 species
GAUGAACGCUAGCUACAGGCUUAACACAUGCAAGUCGAGGGGUAACGAGAGGAAAGCUUGCUUUCCUUGUCGACGACCGGCGCACGGGUGAGUAACGCGUAUCCAACCUGCCCCCAACUAGGGAAUAACCUUGCGAAAGUAAGACUAAUACCCUAUAAUUUCCUCAGAUGACAUCUGACGAGGAAUAAAGAUUUAUCGGUUGUGGAUGGGGAUGCGUCUGAUUAGCUUGGUGGAGGGGUAACGGCCCACCAAGGCAACGAUCAGUAGGGGUUCUGAGAGGAAGGUCCCCCACAUUGGAACUGAGACACGGUCCAAACUCCUACGGGAGGCAGCAGUGAGGAAUAUUGGUCAAUGGGCGGAAGCCUGAACCAGCCAAGUAGCGUGCAGGAUGACGGCCCUAUGGGUUGUAACUGCUUUUAUACAGGAAUAAAGUUAGCCACGUGUGGUUAUUUGUAGGUACUGUAUGAAUAAGGACCGGCUAAUUCCGUGCCAGCAGCCGCCGUAA